rnacentral:rRNA from 1 species
CCUACGGGAGGCAGCAGUGGGGAAUUUUGGACAAUGGACGAAAGUCUGAUCCAGCGACGCCGCGUGAAGGACGAAGGUUUUCGGAUCGUAAACUUCUUUUGCAGGGGACGAAUAACGCGCAAGCGUUGACGGUACUCUGCGAAUAGCCCG